CAGUAGCCGCGGGAAUACGAAGGGGGCUAGCGUUGCUCGGAAUUACUGGGCGUAAAGGGAGCGUAGGCGGAUCGUUAAGUUGGGGGUGAAAGCCCGGGGCUCAACCUCGGAACUGCCUUCAAUACUGGCGAUCUUGAGUAUGAGAGAGGUGUGUGGAACUCCGAGUGUAGAGGUGAAAUUCGUAGAUAUUCGGAAGAACACCAGUGGCGAAGGCGACACACUGGCUCAUUACUGACGCUGAGGCUCGAAAGCGUGGGGAGCAAACAGGAUUAGAUACCCGUGUAGUCCCUGUCUCUUAUAC
rnacentral:rRNA from 1 species